rnacentral:rRNA from 1 species
UACGUAGGAUGCAAGCGUUGUCCGGAAUUAUUGGGUGUAAAGAGCGCGCAGGCGGUUUGAGAAGUCAGAUGUGAAAGAGGCCGGCUUAACCGGCAAGGGUCAUUUGAAACUGACAGACUAGAGUACAGCAGAGGAUAGCGGAAUUCCCGGUGUAGUGGUGAAAUGCGUAGAUAUCGGGAGGAACACCAGUGGCGAAGGCGGCUAUCUGGGCUGAAACUGACGCUGAGGCGCGAAGGCUAGGGUAGCAAACAGG